rnacentral:rRNA from 1 species
UACGUAGGGUGCAAGCGUUAAUCGGAAUUACUGGGCGUAAAGCGUGCGCAGGCGGUGAUGUAAGACAGGUGUGAAAUCCCCGGGCUCAACCUGGGAACUGCAUUUGUGACUGCAUGGCUGGAGUGCGGCAGAGGGGGAUGGAAUUCCGCGUGUAGCAGUGAAAUGCGUAGAUAUGCGGAGGAACACCGAUGGCGAAGGCAAUCCCCUGGGCCUGCACUGACGCUCAUGCACGAAAGCGUGGGGAGCAAACAGG